GAAAUUUCUUGAGAAGUAUGGUACCAAGGUCGAAGGUAUAUUACGGCAGUCUGCAGAUGUCGAGGAAGUGGAGCGGAGGGUAAAAGAAUAUGAAGAAGGCAAAACUGAAUUUGGCCCGGGAGAGGAUGCUCAUGUAAUUGGUGACUGUGUUAAGCAUGUACUUCGUGAGCUUCCCUCAUCUCCUGUUCCUGCUUCCUGCUGUACGGCUCUGUUGGAAGCUUAUAAAAUUGAUCGAAAGGAAGCCCGAGUUAAUGCUAUGCGCUCUGCCAUUCUCGAAACAUUUCCUGAUCCAA
rnacentral:misc_RNA from 1 species